AACGAACGCUGGCGGCAUGCCUAACACAUGCAAGUCGAACGAGACCUUCGGGUCUAGUGGCGCACGGGUGCGUAACGCGUGGGAACCUGCCCUUAGGUUCGGAAUAACUCCCCGAAAGGGGUGCUAAUACCGGAUAAUGUCUUCGGACCAAAGAUUUAUCGCCUUUGGAUGGGCCCGCGUUGGAUUAGCUAGUUGGUAGGGUAAAAGCCUACCAAGGCGACGAUCCAUAGCUGGUCUGAGAGGAGGAUCAGCCACACUGGGACUGAGACACGGCCCAGACUCCUACGGGAGGCAGCAGUGGGGAAUAUUGGACAAUGGGCGAAAGCCUGAUCCAGCAAUGCCGCGUGAGUGAUGAAGGCCUUAGGGUUGUAAAGCUCUUUUACCCGGGAUGAUAAUGACAGUACCGGGAGAAGAAGCUCCGGCUAACUCCGUG
rnacentral:rRNA from 1 species